UACGUAGGGACCGAGCGUUGUCCGGAUUCAUUGGGCGUAAAGAGCUCGUAGGCGGUUCGGUAAGUCGGGUGUGAAACCUCCAGGCUCAACCUGGAGACGCCACCUGAUACUGCUGUGACUAGAGUCCGGUAGGGGAGCGUGGAAUUCCUAGUGUAGCGGUGAAAUGCGCAGAUAUCAGGAGGAACACCGGUGGCGAAGGCGGAUCUCUGGGCCUUACCUGACGCUGAGGCGCGAAAGCUAGGGGAGCGAACAGG
rnacentral:rRNA from 1 species